UCCAUAGUCUCAAAUCCUUUUAACUUUCGA
rnacentral:piRNA from 1 species